AGAGUGAAGUUCGUCGAUGUUCCUUGGGUCAUGUGCUUACAUUCCAACAUGCUCUCUCCUCUAAGAGUAGUUGAGGCCCAUUUGCACCACCUUUUUCCGCUGCCGUUUGUGAUUUUUUUUUUUGAUAUCUUCGAACUGUAUUUGUUAUGCUGACCCAAGGGGUUAUGCAAGUUUGUAAGUGCAAUUAAGUUCUAGAUGAUACGAUGUUAUAAAGUACUUUCGAUCUUGGUAUUACAUCUUGAAACUGUGUGUGCUAGUGAGUCGAUCCAGGGACUAGCACAAAUAAGCACAGAGAUCGAACCCUGUACAGGGGGGGAUCGCUUCAGAUGGUAUCAGAGCAAUGUGUUGCCUUUAGGAACGUGACCCUAGCUUGGAUUAGGAUAAGACUAAACCAAAAGACCAAACCUUAGGAUUAUUUCUUAUCCUAUCUGAUCUAUAUACAUACAUAUAUUUUACUCCUUAUCCCUAUUCAUCUAAAUCAUUGCAUUUAUAUCUUACAUAUGCAUGACACUUUUAUUGAUUUAUUCCACAUAUACACCAAAUACUAUGCCUUAUACCAUAGAUGCAUGUUUCUUUUAUUAUACCACAGAUGCAUAUUUAAUUUAUUAUAUCCUCCACCACUAUAAUCAUGUUACUAUGAUGUACACAUAUUAUUAUGCAUCCAAUUUUAUUUUGCAAAUCCACCAUUUAUUUUAAAUUGUAUCACUUUAUUCCCACUCUAUUACCUUUAUUUUAUUUUUACAUACAUCCGACCAUUUUGAUCAUGUCACUGAUACUCCCUUACCUUCCUUCUUGUUUUCUAUAGAUGGGAAGCCCAACACCGUUCGGUAACGUCCCACCGUUUACCCGAGUCUACUACCCCUCCACGGACGACGACCAGUUAUUCAGUGCCCCUUUGGCGGCACUGUGUGUGU
rnacentral:lncRNA from 1 species